GAUGAACGCUGGCGGCGUGCCUAACACAUGCAAGUCGAGCGUGAUGCUCUGGAUCGAAGCUUCGGCUGAUUGAAAGGGUUGAAAGCGGCGGACGGGUGAGUAACGCGUAGGCAACCUGCCCCUUACAGAGGGAUAGCCACUGGAAACGGUGAUUAAUACCUCAUAAUGCGAGAGAACCUCCUGGCUCUUUCGCCAAAGAUUUAUCGGUAAGGGAUGGGCCUGCGUCUGAUUAGCUAGUUGGUGAGGUAACGGCCCACCAAGGCAACGAUCAGUAGUCGACCUGAGAGGGUAAUCGGCCACAUUGGAACUGAGACACGGUCCAA
rnacentral:rRNA from 1 species